rnacentral:rRNA from 1 species
AACAUCUAAGUACCCCGAGGAAAAGAAAUCAACCGAGAUUCCGAAAGUAGCGGCGAGCGAAAUUGGACUAGCCCUUAAGCUUUACACGCGUUAGACGAACGGUCUGGAAAGUCCGACGAUACAGGGUGAUAGUCCCGUAGUUGACGACGUGUGUUCAGUGAAAUCGAGUAGGGCGGGACACGUGAUAUCCUGUCUGAAUAUGGGGGGACCAUCCUCCAAGGCUAAAUACUACUGACUGACCGAUAGUGAACCAGUACCGUGAGGGAAAGGCGAAAAGAACCCCUGUGAGGGGAGUGAAAUAGAACCUGAAACCGUGUACGUACAAGCAGUAGGAGCAGG